rnacentral:rRNA from 1 species
AACGAACGCUGGCGGCAUGCCUAACACAUGCAAGUCGAACGAGACCUUCGUGUCUAGUGGCGCACGGGUGCGUAACGCGUGGGAACCUGCCCUUAGGCUCGGAAUAACUCCCCGACAGGGGUGCUAAUACCGGAAAAUUUCUUCUGACCCAAGAUUUAUCGCCUUUGGAUGGGCCCGAGUUGUAUUAGCCUGUUGGUAGGGUAAAAGCCUACCAAGGCUACGAUCCAUAGCUGGUCAGAGAGGAUGAUCAGCCACACUGGGAGUGGGAAACGGCCCAGACUCCUACGGGAGGCAGCAGAGGCUAAUAUUGGACUAUGGGCGAAAGGCUGAAGCAGCAAGGCCGCGUGAGUGAUGAAGUCCGUAGAGUUGUAAAGCUCUUUUAUCCGGGAUGAUAAUGACAGUACCGGGAGAAUAAGCUCCGGCUAACUCCGUG